GGCUGGUCCGAUGGCAGUGGGUUAUCAGAACUUACUAACAUUAGUGUCACUAAAGUUGGUAUACCACCCCCCCCCACUGUUAAAUUUGACUGGCAAAA
ensembl:misc_RNA Y_RNA Y RNA